UGAUGUGGUGUGCAGCAUGGUGACUAUAGUUAAUGGUAAUGUAGUGCACAUUUGAAAGUUCCAGGAGAGUAUGUCUAGAAAGUUAUCUGAAACAGUGGAGCCAGAAUUUACAACCAAGUUAGAAAAAGAACAAGGAUAUACAAAGCCUGAAGGGAGUAGAGAUGGAGGAAGAGAGACUGAGAGUCGCUGAAUAUUACCAGGGUAUUGAUAAAGGAGUUUGACAAGAAAUAAAUACCAAGAUUUCUGGGUCUUCAGAUGUGCAUUACCUUUAAUAUGUGGCAAGCUCCCUGGCAAGCACUGAUGCUAUUCAGCAGGCAAUAUCUCUCCACAUGAAGAAACUAAGACACAGAGCUCAGUUCACUGAACUAAUCCCCUCCGGUGAUUCUAGGUCUACCUACCCAGAGAUUGCAUUUGAGAACC